CCUACGGGGGGCAGCAGUGGGGAAUAUUGGGCAAUGGGCGCAAGCCUGACACAGCAACGCCGCGUGAAGGAAGAAGGCUUUCGGGUUGUAAACUUCUUUUAAGGGGGAAGAGCAGAAGACGGUACCCCUUGAAUAAGCCACGGCUAACUACGUGCCAGCAGCCGCGGUAAUACGUAGGUGGCAAGCGUUGUCCGGAUUUACUGGGUGUAAAGGGCGUGCAGCCGGAGAGACAAGUCAGAUGUGAAAUCCACGGGCUCAACCCGUGAACUGCAUUUGAAACUGUUUCCCUUGAGUGUCGGAGAGGUAAUCGGAAUUCCUUGUGUAGCGGUGAAAUGCGUAGAUAUAAGGAAGAACACCAGUGGCGAAGGCGGAUUACUGGACGAUAACUGACGGUGAGGCGCGAAAGCGUGGGGAGCAAACAGGAUUAGAUACCCCUGUAGUC
rnacentral:rRNA from 1 species